CCUACGGGUGGCAGCAGUGGGGAAUAUUGGGCAAUGGAGGAAACUCUGACCCAGCAACGCCGCGUGAAUGAUGAAGGUCUUCGGAUCGUAAAGUUCUGUUCUAAGGGAAGAAGAAAGUGACGAGACAUUAGUAAUACGCCUCGGCUAACUACGGGCCAGCCGCCGCGGUAAUACGUAGGAGGCAAGCGUUAUCCGGAAUGACUGGGCGUAAAGGGUGCGUAGGUGGUUUGAUAAGUUGGUAGCGUAACUCCGAGGCUCAACCUAGGCACUACUACCAAAACUGUCGGACUUGAGUGCAGGAGGGGCAACUGGAAUUCCUGGUGUAGCGGUGGAAUGCGUAGAUAUUAGGAGGAACACCAGUGGCGAAGGCGGGUUGCUGGACUGUAACUGACACUGAGGCACGAAAGCGUGGGGAGCAAACAGGAUUAGAUACCCCAGUAGUC
rnacentral:rRNA from 1 species